rnacentral:pre_miRNA from 11 species
AUGCAACUUCGUGUACGUAUACUGAAUGUAUCCUGAGUGCUUAAUCUGUCCGGAUUUACCUUCAGUAUACGUAACAAGAGGUAGCAC